CGGACGGGUGAGUAAUGUCUGGGAAACUGCCUGAUGGAGGGGGAUAACUACUGGAAACGGUAGCUAAUACCGCAUAACGUCGCAAGACCAAAGAGGGGGACCUUCGGGCCUCUUGCCAUCAGAUGUGCCCAGAUGGGAUUAGCUAGUAGGUGGGGUAACGGCUCACCUAGGCGACGAUCCCUAGCUGGUCUGAGAGGAUGACCAGCCACACUGAAACUGAGACACGGUCCAGACUCCUACGGGAGGCAGCAUG
rnacentral:rRNA from 1 species